ensembl:lncRNA
AUACGCAAACGCUGAGGUCUGGGCAGGACAGCAAGAUCCGGGACCAGAUUUCUGACUCAGUUUAUUUCGUGUCUGAAUAACUUUCAGUGUUGGGGGGAGACUUCAAAACCAUAACGUCUCCAGGGAGCUCUCGCCUUGUGCUUCUAACGCUAACCACGUUAGGCUGUCUGUCUUUCCUCCAAGGGCCGGAGUUCAUGGAAGCUCUUCUCAGUAGUCACAGCACUGCUAUUCCGAGGGAAUAAAACAGAGAAAUUGGAUUCAGAUCAAUACGACCUUCUUCACCACCAAGUUCCGCCACACUUUCUUUAAGUAAGGAGCUCACGCUGCAUCUUAUGAAGGCCCAUCCAUGGGGCCCCUCCGCACAUGGCCAGUCGUGGGAAUGAAACAGUGGGGAUGAGGGGUCUCUCAUCUCCUGGCACCUCUGAAGAUCAAACUCCUCGCAGUGGCUGCAGUGAGAGCCCAGCUGUAGUUUUCUCAUCUGCAUACUUAGCAGGUAACUGUCGGGGCUGACACAAGCCCAAAGGGAAGACCUCGGACUUCACGACGUCCUUUUACGCUGGUUGUCAGCAGCCCUGACCUCAGCGGAGGCGGGAGCCGCCCUGGAGGAGAUCCCAGAUUGUCGCAGAUACUCGACCACUCUCCCUGCCAGCGCCUUGCUCCACUGUGGGACAGCCGGAGUGUUUCUUCUAGAAUGUAUGCCACAGUCCAUCAUCCCUCUGACCAUCGCCCUCCAGGGGCUUCAGUCCUCGCCAAGACUUCUAAGACCCUCAAUAAGCAGUAAGGCUCUUCGGCACUCGCUCUGCUCUGUGAAGAGAGGAUACAGCAGAAACAAUGCCUCCCCUGAAGAAGACCCAUCUUCUCUACCUUUGGUAAGAAACAUGUAAACAGGUGCCUCAAGUCAUCUGGGAAUAUUAUCGACAAUGUAAUUCUUGGAGUAAAAUUUGAAACUUACGUAUGACUUUCCCUGUAACCUCCAAAAUCUUUUCAAUGGUGGAAGCAGAAUGUCUUCCUUAUUUCCACUACGAAAUAACAACAAAAAACCCUGACAAUUAUUCCUGAAAUAUGUGCUUUGUUUAAACACAAGGUGUACAGUGAACACAGUUUUAUCAGCGCUCUUGGACAAGAUUCCAAUAUGCUGUUUCUGCAAGGAAAAAUAAGCCCACUUUACAACUAAUCUCUGGGACUUCGAUAGCUAAAUAAUCAUGGAAUCGGCAUUCAGGUCUUUGGGCACCCACUUCCCAUGCACUUCCUUGAGGCUAUAGUCUCGGUAAUUGAAUUGAGAGAUGAAAAACGUGAACCCAACCUCGACAGAUCAAGCUGACCUGAAACAGUAUGCAUGGCAAUAUCAUUAUAUUCGAGGGCCAAAGGAAACUUGUGUGCUGGUUGUUUUCCUCUAAACCUGACUGUUUUGAUGGAGUCAUUGCUGUAAAUCCUGUGUGUAAUAAAACACGGAGUUUUGGGGUUCUCUUCAGAACAGAGAUCAUAUAAGUUUCAAAGUCUAAAUUGGGCAGCUAAGUGAAAUCCUGUCUGUCAUCAGAUGAAUGUGGCAGUUGGAGUUCCAGCACUUACGGCCAACAACUUCAGGUGAGCGCUUCUGAAUCACAGGGAAGACCCAUGUGGGCAGGCACGCUGUUGGGUUUCAAGAGAAGGGGAUUGUAACAUAUUUGCACACAACAUGAAAAAUAAACGUUAGAUUACAGAUAUAAUACUUAACAGGUAUUUCACUUCUGAAAAGGAAUCAAAAAUAGAUGUUAACUGGCAGUGAAUAUAACAACUAAAUACCACAUUUUGG